UACGUAGGGUGCAAGCGUUAAUCGGAAUUACUGGGCGUAAAGCGUGCGCAGGCGGUUCUAUAAGACAGAUGUGAAAUCCCCGGGCUCAACCUGGGAACUGCAUUUGUGACUGUAGAGCUGGAGUACGGCAGAGGGGGAUGGAAUUCCGCGUGUAGCAGUGAAAUGCGUAGAUAUGUGGAGGAACACCGAUGGCGAAGGCAAUCCCCUGGGCCUGUACUGACGCUCAUGCACGAAAGCGUGGGGAGCAAACAG
rnacentral:rRNA from 1 species